UACAUUUGUGGAACAACGUGUAUCGGAACUAGGACAGGUACCUAAUAAUAAUUGUGAAACGUGCGAAAUUUUCAAGAAAAAUCGAUACUCACGGUUCAAGAUAUAUUCAAGGUGGUAUACUACCAAAAAGUCCAGGGUAAAAAAGUCCUGGGAAAUAGUUCAAGUAAAAAAGUCCAUGGUUAAAUGUCCUUGGUGAAAAAAUCAGAUUUGUUUCCCUCAAGAAUCUGUGUGGUGGUUUCCACGUCUGGUGCGAGUGCUGCAUCCAGUGUGUUGGGUAUG